rfam:Leuconostoc gelidum JB7, complete genome.
CGCGGGAUGGAGCAGUCUGGUAGCUCGUCGGGCCCAUAACCCGAAGGUCGCAGGUUCAAAUCCUGCUCCCGCAA